UCACAUUUUAUCUCUCUAAUUGAUUCUCACGGCUCAGCUCCAGCUUUCCUUAGCUAGUGUACUGAUUGAUUAUUUUGCAAUUUGCACAAGUCAAUAAUAUAUUAAUGUUAUGAAAUGAAUUCUCAUCGCUGUAUUAACCAUCAGGAUUAAUUCUGAUUUGAUCGUAGUCCUUAGACAUUACUUCGUGUCUGGAUUAUCCUAUCUUUGCAAUUAAAUUUUAAUUCAUUCUGUGCGUUUACCAUGUACUAAUGUACAAAUGUAAUUUCAAUUAGGUGUGCCUCUGUGUGAUGUGCUAUUCAAGAUACCUCUACAUAUUUCCCCCUUCUUAAUGAAAAGGCAGCGCUCCUGUCGGUUCCUCAAAAAAAUUGUGUUAUUCAGGAUACAAUGGCACUCGAUAAUGCUUGCUAAGAAGGUAUGCAAUAUGAACUGGACUGUUGCUUGCCAGAUGACUGGAAGAUGGGUACUUCAUCCUCUCUUUUUUUGUGAAGCAAGAUAAAUAAGGUUCAGGCAUUGUAAUGAAAACUACAGAUUUAGCUAAAUUCAACUGAUGGUGUAAUAUCUCUUCCUAUGGGCAGAAGUAAUGAUAUCUUCUUAGGAGUAAUAAGGCGUCGCUGCAUAAAUAUACUUGACUUUCAAAUGAGUGUGUGAAGAGGUUUAAUUAGCAUCGAUCCCUACUGUAAUUAUAGCUGGAUAUCUCGCUCCUGUACUAUUUGAAAGUCAAUUAGAUGUUCAGAAUAACAGAAAUUUGCUAGAUAAGCUAACAUUAGAAGCGGAAGUAAACAUUAAACAGUUCAGAUAGUGAAGGUGAAUAUCUGAUAUGUCAUCAUUGUGUGUUUCCUGUUGUAGAUAAAUUUGCUUGCAGGGCUCUUGAUGAUAUAUCCACUUUCAUCAAAUGCUUAAGGGUAUGGUCACUUGGAGAAGACAUAGCUAUGACUACAAAGAUCUGUUUUUUC
rnacentral:lncRNA from 1 species